rnacentral:rRNA from 1 species
AUUGAACGCUGGCGGCAGGCCUAACACAUGCAAGUCGAGCGGGGUUUUCGGACCUAGCGGCGGACGGGUGAGUAAUGCGUAGGAAGCUGCCCGAUAGAGGGGGAUACCAGUUGGAAACGACUGUUAAUACCGCAUAAUGUUUACGGACCAAAGUGUGGGACCUUCGGGCCACAUGCUAUCGGAUGCGCCUACGUGGGAUUAGCUAGUUGGUGAGGUAAUGGCUCACCAAGGCGACGAUCUCUAGCUGGUUUGAGAGGAUGAUCAGCCACACUGGAACUGAGACACGGUCCAGACUCCUACGGGAGGCAGCAGUGGGGAAUGUUGGACAAUGGGCGCAAGCCUGAUCCAGCCAUGCCGCGUGUGUGAAGAAGGCCUUCGGGUUGUAAAGCACUUUCAGCGAGGAGGAAGGGGUGUGUGUUAAUAGUACACACCUUUGACGUUACUCGCAGAAGAAGCACCGGCUAACUCUGUGCCAGCCGCCGCAGUAAGAC